GCUGUGUUGCCCUGGCUGGUCUUGAACUCCUGGGCUCAAGUAAUCUUCCUGCCUCAGCCUAGUAAAGUGCUAGGAUUACAGGUGUGAGCCACCAUGAAACCUGGCCCAAAAUAACUUCCUUUGAACAUUUCUUAAUGUGUAAUUAAUUAAUUCAAAUCAAUAUUUAACUUUAACCUCUGAUGAGUGUUUUCUAAAAGAUGAGGCUGGGUUGGAAAGCAAGGGGAGAAGCCCACUGUCCACAGGUGGCUGCAGAUGCCAGGGGCACUUUCUCGCUGGAGUCUGCCCGGCUGUCGGAGGUUAUAUGUGGCAGGAGCAGUGAGCGUCAGGUCCAGGGUGUUUGGCUUACAGAGCGGGAAGCCCGCACACCCACUUGGAGUGUGGGUCGGACAAGAUGGCACAGUGGUGGGGUUUGCUUUCCAUCUGGGCCAUGAGUGUCCUCCCUGCAAGUGACGUUUUGGCUCCACCACCUCUGAGGGUGCACCAUGGAGGUGAUUUCAGCCCAGGUUUACUUCUCCUUGGAUUUCAGGAUGAGAUGAGAGUGGGGAAAAGAAUUCCCUUAAAGCCUUGCAUUGAGGGGAAGGGGAGUUAAAUUAGUUUGAUCUGUUUUGUUUGGGAGGCAAUUCAAAGGGAUUUAAACAUUGUUCAGGGUUCUUACUGUACAGUUCUCCAAAGAGUUUUGUUAUGAAAAGGUUCUAGAUGAUUUAGUUGAUGUGAAUCACGCGUAAAUCGAGGGACAGAGGCCCUGGGGAGUUGGUGCUAGGCAGCCCCUCAUCUCCUGUUUGCUCACCGUGUGCACGAAGGAUGCCGGCCCAGGACACGUGCGUGCAGAUGCUGAAGACCGCAGGCUCCAGUUCUCAUCCACUGUGUGGGCUGACUCAUGCUGAUGGCUUUGCUGCCUAGCUCUCCUGAUGUCUCGCCCUGUCCCCAGAGAAGAACCAAAGAUGAUACCUGGAAAGCAGAUGACCUCAGAAAACAUCUCUGGGCCAUACAGUCAGGCGGUUCCAAGGAAGAAAAGAAGCACAGAGAGAAGAAGCUGCUUAGUCUGAAAUGGACCCUCCUGAACACAAGGAGUCGGUGGAGGGAUCCCCGACUCAGGGAUGCCAGGAGCAGAGAGCAGGGCACGAAGUCCACACUGCUAAGUGACAGGUCCUCGGGGGAGAGGGACAGGACAGACAGAGGGAGAGAAGAGAUGCAAAAGACCCGGGAGAAAGAAAAGCUGAAGGAGAAACAUCGAGGCAGAAAAGUCUCACAGCAGAGGAAAGGACAGGGAAAAAGAAAAAGACAGAAGGGCCCAGAAGGAAGAGCUCGCAGACCGUGGCCCGUCACAACCUGCUGGGCCAGGAGACACGACUGCAGCUCCUGAGCGGCGGAGAGGAAAGGCCGCUCAGUAAGUAAAGUAAGAAGUGAAGAGAAAGAUGAAGACUGAAAGAGGAGGACAAGACAGAGAAAGAAGAUACUGCAGAAAGAAAAAGCUGCAGUACGGAGACAGCAAGGACAACCCUCUCAAGUACUGGCUUUAUAAAGAAGAAGGUGACAGGAGACACAGGAAGCCUAGAGACCCAGAUCGAGACAAGAAACACCGAGAAAAAAGCAGCACAAGGGAAAAAAGAGAAAAAUAUUCCAAAGAGAAAAGUAAUUCAUUCUCUGAAAAAGAAGGGGAAGAAAGACAUAAAGAAAAGCGACACAAAGAAGUCCUUCAUUUUGAUGAUGAGAGGCACCGAACCAGUGUGGAUAGAAAAGAGAGAUCAGCAAAAGACGAGCACAAGAAAAGGGAAUCCAAGAACGGUGAACACAGAAAUCGAGGUGCAAGCUCAAAAAGAGAUGGGACCAGCAGCCAGUAUGCUGAGAAUUUAGUAAGGAAUCACGGAAAAGAUAAAGAUUCAAGACGGAAGCAUGGCCAUGAGGAAGGUUCUUCCGUGUGGUGGAAGCUGGACCAGAGGCCAGGAGGCGAGAGAGCACUGUGGUAGAGUCUUAUGGAAAUUGAAAAGGAAGAAACUGAUUUAGAGCAUGCUAGAGCUGAUGCAUAUACAGCCAGUUGUGAAGAUGAUUUUGAAGACUACGAAGAUGACUUUGAGGUUUGUGAUGGUGAUGAUGAUGAAAGCAGUAAUGAACCUGAGUCAAGAGAAAAAAUGGAAGAACUUCCUCUAGCUCAAAAAAAGGAAAUACAAGAAAUUCAAAGAGCUAUUAAUGCAGAAAAUGAAAGGAUUGGCGAGUUAUCUUUGAAACUGUUUCAGAAGCAAGGUAGAACAGAAUUUGAAAAGGAGCCCAGGACAGAUACAAACAGUUCCCUUUCCAGAGCCUCCGUUUGUGGAAUUUUUGUGGAUUUUGCCUCAGCUUCACACCGUCAAAAGAGUGGGACUCAGGCCCUUAAGCAAAAGAUGCGAAGUACAAAACUGCUUCGGCUCAUUGACUUAGAUUUUUCAUUUACUUUCUGGCUCUUGGAUCUACCACCAGUAAAUGAAUAUGACAUGUAUAUCAGAAACUUUGGGAAAAAAAAUACCAAGCAGGUAAAUAUGAGAUAUGUUAACUAAGUGAUAAAAUGCAAGUAAAGUCUAAUAGGAUAACUUUGUGUCUUCCUGAAUAUUGUUCUGCAAUAUUAGAACUUGGGGA